UCAGUCCGUUAAGUUACACUGGACUAAUUCAGGAACGACCGAGUUCCAUUUUAAGCCUUUUUCGUCGAGCCAACUUCACCGAGGUCAGACGUCCACGUGGUCUCGCCAGCUACAACUAAGGAAAACUGCAAACAGCCAAAUUGCCAGACUGAGGAGGCGUUUUCAAUCAGACACGGAGAACCCUGGAGAAUCCCUAGCAAAAAAGCCAGGAUCGGUAGCUAGAGUGGGACCAGCAACAGGCCAAAAGCAGACUGUCGACAAGCACUUCUGGAAGCGAGGCAGGGUGUGCUGGCAGCAGAGGAACUGGCGUUCUAGAAAGGCAUCACCAUUGAUCUGAUGUCCGAUGAGGAAGAUGGCAGCUUUGAGGGGGUGUCAGGGUGGAUUGUGUGACCCCAAGUUUCCGCAGCCAGGAGCUCAGCGACCUCUGUUGCACGCUACAGACAAGACUCGAGGCUAAUCCCAAGUACAGCGCACUGCGUCACAGGUCUGUCUGUACAGUGGAUCAUGUUCAGACAGAAAGCUACCACCACAUGGCCCAGAGGUGGACAGUCAUUUCAUCCCCCAGCUGGGCAUUUGAUAUCUUUUGCAAAUUGCUUGUAAAUACGCAUUUGCUUUCUUUUUUUAAAUUAAAAAAGUUUCAUUCAA